rnacentral:rRNA from 1 species
CACGGGGGGAGCAAGCGUUGUUCGGAAUCACUGGGCGUAAAGGGUGUCUAGGCGGUCAGGUAAGUGAGAUGUGAAAUGCCCCGGCUUACCCGGGGACCGGCAUCUCAUACUGUCUGGCUUGAGUAUGGGAGAGGAUGAGGGAAUUCCUGGUGUAGCGGUGAAAUGCGUAGAUAUCAGGAGGAACACCGGUGGCGAAGGCAAUCCCCUGGGCCUGCACUGACGCUCAUGCACGAAAGCGUGGGGAGCAAACAGG